rnacentral:rRNA from 1 species
GUCUACAGCCAUGCCAUCCUGAAUGUGCCUGAUCUCGUCUGAUUGGAAGCUAAGCACGGUUGGGCCUGGUUAGUACUUAGAUGGGAGACCACCUAGGAAUACCAGGUGCUGUAGGCG